GGCAGAGACACAGGCAGAGGGAGAAGCAGGCUCCAUGCACCGGGAGCCCGAUGUGGGAUUCGAUCCCGGGUCUCCGGAUCGCGCCCUGGGCCAAAGGCAGGCGCCAAACCGCUGCGCCACCCAGGGAUCCCCUGACACACCUUUUCUGUAGUCAAAUCAUCUUCUGUCCUCCUCUUAGAAGGAUCCUUGUGAUUACCUCGGACCCAACUCGAUAAUGCAGGAUCACCUCCCCAUCUCACGGUCCCUGACCUAAUUACAUCUGCAAAGUUCCUUUUAUCCUGCAAGUCAACAUCUUCCCUGUUUCAGCAAUUAGGGUAUACAUAUAUUUUGGGGGAGAGAAUGGCUAUUAGUCUGCCUACCACAGGUGGUCCACAGGCCAGACUCAGGAAAAAAAAAAAAACCUGCAAGAAGCAGCGUUUACUUCAUUGUUUCUCAUUACCCACCAUACCCAUAAGGCAGUGAUUCUCAGGGAGGGAGGGAUGAUAUUCCUGCCCUGGGGACAUUUGGCAAUGUAUGGAAGGAGUCAAUGAUUAGUAUGGAGAAGCAGAUGAGAAAGAGAACCCAUGAGAAGAAACACAACUUUUUUUCUAACCCACUAAAAAAGCUACAUAUUUUCUACAUGGUCUCUUCUCCCUUGUGCAGUGCUAAUGGAAAUGACACGCACUGUGGGGUCAGGUGAAACUGGGUUCGUGUCCCAGCUCUGCUGGGUAUGACACAGAGAUUGCUUCAGUAACUCUCUGAGCCUUUGGUGUCCUCAUCUGUAAAGUGAGAAGAGUCAUAUUUCCCUCAGAGAAGUGAGGUGAACCCUGGAGCGUGACGUGACGGCUAACACACCUUUCACUUGCUUGGUUCCCUAACCAUUAACUUAGAGGAGUAGCUAUUUCAGUCUUGCUCAGAUAGAUAUUCCCAGAAGGAACACUGCAUUAGAAAUUGCCCAAACCUGUGUCUAUCGGGUAAUCACACCUAAUUGAUGGUGGUCAGAUCAAAAGGAAGACAAGCAAGAGAGCAGCUGUGUCUAGGAUGUAAGCCACAGUGCUGGUCAAACAGAAGACUUAACUAAACCAUAGCAAUUUAGGUAGGGAUUAUGAAAAGUCAUCAAAAGCCAGAAAUGUGCGUGUUAUCAAUCCAAUCCCCAAAGCAGUGUGUACACAGUGACUGUUAUGAGCAUAAAUGAUAGAUGGCCAAACACCUAUAAAACAAAUAAAGAUAACCAAAGGGGUAAGGGGUCUGUUUGCUUUCUAGAUGAAGAGGUGGCCUCAGUAGGAGUGACAUGGAGGAUUGCAGAUGGGCUGCAGGAGCUGAGGAUGGCCUUGCACAGCAGAUGUGGCCAAGGUGCCAGCAGCAUGGCAAGUUACUACACCUUACCCAAGCAAGCCUCAGCUACUGAGACUGAUUAAAACAAAAUACAUUCUGGCUGAGGCUCCAUGUGAAUCCUGCGACGUCCUGUUUGUGGAAAUGAGCACAAUGCGCAAGCAGGUGAGCUCCCCUAACUAAAAUCCAACCUGCUUUGUGGGAGACUUUGCUGCGGAGGCCAGGUGCACAGCUCAUGCCUGGCACCACGGGGCACAGCAGAACAUACCACCACCACCCAUUAUCCCGGAAUGUGGGCGUGAAGAAUAUGCCCACAUCCACGAAGCAGGGAUAGAUCCCCAUGGAAACGCCUCAUCACUGACAUUUCAGCUCCCCAUCCCAGUGCCGAGAACAGGAGGCACCCACUGUGACCUAUUGCUAACAGUUUAUCAAGACAAGGAGGAAGCAUCUUGCCUUUUCACGGUCAGAAACAACACAGGGUAUAGUCUUCUUUUCCUUGUUUUUUUGUACUUAGGACAAGACUUUUAAAAAAUCCCACUGGAUCCUUUUACAUCUGAGACUGCCUCACAAAAUAGAAUGAGAUUUAACCUAAAAGCCAAACAUCUAUCAGAUUUUAUUUUUAAAUAUUUUAUUUAUUUGAGAGAGACAGAGCAUGAGCAGGGACGAGGGGUGAAAGGGAGAGGGAGAAGCAGACUCCCUGCUAAGCAGGGAGCCCAAAGUGGGGCUUGAUCCCAGGACCCUGAAAUCAUAACCUGAGCUGAAAUCAGAUGCUGAACCCACUGAGACACCCAAGCACCCCAAGAUCUAUCAAAUUUUAAAGGUGAGAAGGCAUUCUGUACAGCACAGCUUUUAUGCCAGACCUAUACUCUACAGAAUGUGUAGGGUACAGCUCCAUUACUCUCUAAGAAUUACCCUGUGUUGUCAGAGGAUUGUAAAAAGGAGUACAAGUGCUUCUCCAAUGUCACUGCAAACCUAGCUCUACUGCAUUAUUCUGGAUUCCAGGCGAUGUGUUCAAAUUCUUAACUCCAUCAGGGUUGACAAACAAGUCACUUUAUCUAAAAUGCAGCCACUUUACAUCCAUUUACACCAAAGGUGAAAAAAUUAAGAGAAAGCAUUGUUAGCCUGGCUUUAAUAUGAACAGAUGGAAAAGCCUCGCUUGGCCAUGAAUGUGUAUCAUGGUUUUACAUGUUAUGAGCUGAACUGUUGAAAUUCACAGAUUCACAGGUUGAAAUCCUAAUCCCCAGGGUCUCAGAAUUGGAAGUGGUUGUAUCUGGAGAUGGGGCCUUUAAAUAGAUAAUUAAGGUAAAAUGAAGUCACGAGGGUGGGUACUUAUCCAACAUAACUGGUGUCCUUGUAAGAAGAGGAGAUUAGGACACAAACAAGCAGAGAGGGCUGACCAUGUGAGGACACUCGGAGGAGAGAGUCUACAUGCCCAGGAGAGAAGCCUCGAGAGGAUCCAGCCCUGCCUAAGCCUGGAUCUCAGACUCCCAGCCUCUGGACUGUAAGACAUAAAUGUCUUUUGUUUGAGCUCACCACUCUGAGGCAAUCUAUCAUGGCAGCCUGAGCACACUCAUACAUAUAUUUUCUGUAUCAACUGUUGGAAGUUCUCCUUUCUUUGUUUUACAAACUUUAUUGAGGACCUGGCUAUAUGUCAGGCCCAGGACAAUAAGUUUUAUAUUUCUAAUUCAGUUCUCUGAAAUGCAACAUAUGAAUUACUAGCCCUAGUUUAUGAACAAAUACACUGUUAUAAAUCUGCCCAAGAUCACACUAGAUGAUCCAACUGGACCUCCUCCAGUCUAGACAGACCCAGAAGCAGGUCUUAUUUUGUUUCACUCCCUCUUCCUCCAGGACCCAGGUGCUUUAAUGAGUAAAAUGUCUCUGUGUAUCAGGAGAAAUAUUUGUGUGUGAGUGAUGCCUGGAGAGAGCUGAGAGCUGUAUGUACCACACCCAUCUGGGAAGAGCCCACCAUCAACUCCAUGGUCACCAAGCAUGGAUCACCCUAAUAGGGAAGCAGAGCUGUGACUCUCUCCCUUUACAUACUCAUCCACAUCCACAUGGAAUACACUGGAUGGCAGAGAACACCAGCCCCCCUCCUUUCCUCCCUUGCCUGUUCCACCACACCUCCAGGUAUGGCCCCUUCCUAGCUUCAUAGCUACAUUACUUAGCCACUGCUACAAAACAAAUGACAAACUUAGCAGCUUAAAACACCCAUUUAUUAGCUCACAGAUCUGUAGGAUACAAGUCCAGGAUAGAUGGCUAGGUUCUGCACCGUGGGUCUCCCAAAGCUGUCCCCAAAGACACUCCCAAAGUGUCUGCUGGGCUGGGUGUUGCUACCUACAAUGUUCAUAAAGAAUUCAUUUCCAGGAUCAUUUGGGUUGCCUAAUAAAUUCUAAAAUAAAUUUAGGGGCACCUGGGUGGCUCAGUGGUUGAGCAUCUGCCUUUGGCUCAGGUUAUGAUCCCAGGAUCCUGGGAUUGAGUCCCACACUGGGCUCCCCGCAGGAAGCCUGCUUCUCCCCCUGUCUAUGUCUCUGCCUCUCUCUGUCUCUCAUGAAUGAAUAAAUAAAAUAUUUUAAAAACCCAAUUCCGUUCCUUUGGUUGUAGGACUGAGGUCCCCAUUUCCUUGCUGGCUGUCAGCCAAAGGUCAUUUCUUCUCCUAGAGGUCACCUGCACUCUUUCUCACAUAGCCCCUCCAUUCCUCAAACCACCAGCAGCACCUUGAGCCCUUCAUAUACUUCAAGUAUCUCUGACUUCUCCUUCUGCUACCAGCUGGUAAAAUACCUCUACUUUCAAGGGGUGUGUAUGAUUAGAUUAAACCUACCUUACCCCAAUAUUCUCUGUUUUACCAAUAUAAAGCAACAUAAUGAAGGAAGCAAUAUAUAAUCAUAUAAUAGGCUCCUACCCACACUCAGUGGGGAAGGGAUUGCCCAAGGGAGGGUCAGCCUUAGGUUCUGCAACCACAGCAGGUCACACAUACCCCCUGUCCUUAUCAUGUCUCCUGUUCCUUCCACAUCAGUAUUCUAAGCAACUUCUUUACCUUUUAAGCAAUUUUCAUUUCCCACCCUAGAGAAACAGUGACCAUUAUCAAACAUCAUUGUAAAAAAAAAAAAAAAAAAAAAAAAAA
rnacentral:lncRNA from 1 species